UAGUAAAAAUUCGCACGCGUAACCCAACUUUGAGCAAAAAUUUAUUGAUGAUCCCGUGCUUCAAUAUGCAUAAAAAUUAUACCAAAGUGAUCAGGAAAGAUAGAACUAUUUGAUUAUAGAAAAAAAUCGAUACCCGAAUUUUCACUUCAGUAGCACUUUAAAUAAGUCAAUAUUAUAUUACAGCAUUCAUGUCA